rnacentral:rRNA from 1 species
UUGGAGAAUUUGAUCCUGGCUCAGGAUGAACGCUGGCGGCGCGCCUAACACAUGCAAGUCGAACGGUUAAAGCACCUUCGGGUGUGUAUAAAGUGGCGAACGGCUGAGUAACACGUGGGCAACCUGCCCCUCGCACCGGGACAGCCUCGGGAAACCGUGGUUAAUACCGGAUACUCCGCCACCCCCGCAUGGGGGAGGCGGGAAAGCCCAGACGGCGAGGGAUGGGCCCGCGGCCUGUUAGCUUGUUGGCGGGGUAACGGCCCACCAAGGCAAUGAUGGGUAGCCGGGUUGAGAGACCGACCGGCCAGAUUGGGACUGAGACACGGCCCAGACUCCUACGGGAGGCAGCAGUGGGGAAUCUUGCACAAUGGGCGAAAGCCUGAUGCAGCGACGCCGCGUGCGGGACGAAGGCCUUCGGGUCGUAAACCGCUUUCAGCAGGGAUGAGGCCGCAAGGUGACGGUACCUGCAGAAGAAGCCCCGGCUAACUACGUGCCAGCAGCCGCGUUAAUAA